GGGUGGCUCUUGGGCGGUGGGCGAUCGGGCUGGAGGGUGGCCUCUUUGGGCCAAAGUUGGGGAGAGGGCCCCGCGCACAGGCCCGGCCGGGAAGAAGUGGAUCCGCUGCUAAUUACGGGCAUUCGUGAGCACAGCUGGGCUGCCAGCCUCCCUGGCAGCAGCCAAUGUUUGGAGAGCCGAUCAUUUGUAGUGUACACACACACACGCGCCCAACUCCUGAAACCCGAAACGGCCGCUGCCUGAUGCCAACCCGAUUAGCGGAGCUGCUUUGCCCUCAGGAAUCGCCUCGCCUGUUUCCAGCGGCAGGUCAGGCAGCGGGCAGAGGAGGCAAGGGGGACCCCGAGCCUCGAGACCUGAGGCGAACGGCCCCCUCUGCCCACCAGGAAAGUCUUCUACCCAGCAGUUAGAAAUAUUUUUCGAGACAAAGAAUUCAAAUUCAAGAGAUGGAAAAUCUCUCAUCAGCAACGUGAAGCUGUAUGAAGCUCUGAUCAUUGUCAAGCACUAGUUUGGACAUAUUACAGCUGACAAGGAAGCUGGAUGCUGGAUCCGGACUGCUGAAAAUUCUCUCUGGUUUAAGGAGAGACCUUGAGAUUACUCAUCUGUACUCUGGACAUCAAUUUUUGUGAGUAGAUGGUAG